GAAAUGCGAUAAGUAGUGUGAAUUGCAGAAUUCAGUGAAUCAUCGAAUCUUUGAACGCACAUUGCGCCCUUUGGUAUUCCUUAGGACAUGCCUGUUCGAGCGUCAUCUAAACCUUCAAGCCCUGCUUGGUGUUGGGUGUCUGUCCCGCCUCCGCGCGCGGACUCACCUCAAAUCCAUUGGCGGCCCCCGCGUCGGCCACGAGCGCAGCAGAAACGCGAACUCGUGAGCCCGUCCGGGCGGCUCCCAGAAGCUACACCCACCCAGUUUGACCUCGGAUCAGGUAGGGAUACCCGCUGAACUUAAGC
rnacentral:misc_RNA from 1 species